GGAAUUCUCCCUCUCAGGAAACUAACAGCCUGCUAUGAAGCCCAAGCCACAAAGAGAGGCCAAGGGGAAAUAAACAGAGUGUGAUUAUAUGCAAAACCUACAAGAAUGAGGACCUCCAAACUCAGUGUACAGAGUGAUUUUCUGCUGAAACAAUUGGACACAUACAAGUUUUUGUUGUUUUCCUGAGAGCCAAGGAAUAGAUAAGCUACAUAAAUGACGGCAUAUUGGAUGGUGACAGCGCCUCUAGAGUGUGUACUUCUGAUAUGCAAAGACAUACCAUGUCAGUUUACAACUGUAUUGUAUUUUGUUCUGUUUUCCCUUAUGAUGAUUCACUGGCUGUGAAGCUUUUAAAAAAUUGUGUGACUGACCAGCAGCAGUGGCUCACAUCUGUAAUCCCAGCACUUUGGGAGGCCGAGAAAAUAAAAGAGACAUCAGUGUGUGAAUGACGACUUUCUGUUGCUGACUUGGAAGACAGAGGAAUUGGGUCAUGAGCCGAGGAAGGUGGGCAGCUUCUAAAAGGCGGAAAAGAACUGAAUUGAAUUCAAAUCAAAAAAGGUCUGAACCUCAUUUAAAAGAUGGUUUUGUAACUGAAGAAUUGAAAGGAUUUCUUUAUGAACUAGCAUCAUCUUAAGACAAAGGAUAAGGACCCUGAAGACAGCAUUAUAGUGAAUCCCAGAGGUGCUCUCCAAAAUGGUGCUAAUACAGCCAAGAAUACAGGUAUGAGGAAGGAUGUGGAAGGGUACCUUACAGGAGAAAGCACCACUUAUCCACCAAGAUGGCAGAGGCCUUCUUUUCUGACCCGUGGUACAAAAAGAAAACAUUAUAAGGAGAGACAAUAGGCAAAAAAGAGCACACGAGAAGAAACAUAGAAUGAAAGAAAAGAGAGGGUCAAAGAGAAGAAAAAUAAGAUCACAUGAAGGUGAUAAUACAAUUUUAUAUAGAACACGGCAAUUUGCAAUCCACAAGCUGAUCUAAUAUUUAAUGUUUAAGAAAUCCAGGCUGUGUAAAUAAAUUUUGGAAAUGAGAACUCUCCAAGAGCAGACUCAAGGUGAUCUGGGCUGGAUCUUACUCCUUCCAUGUCUCAGGUGGCCCCAGGAGGACAACAUUGUCAAAUAAAGUUUAGCCUAAAGCUGACUCCUUACUUAUUUUAAGUUCAGCCUAAAGAUUUAUCUGUACAUCAUGAACUAUAGCCUAAACGGAAGUAUAAACAGGCUACAAUCUACUCUUGUGCCAAUCACUGAGUUUUGGCCAAUCGAUUGCGGUCAACAGUUCAAAUCAUGUUUGAAUAAGACAAAUGCCGAGCUGUUACCAAUCUGGCUGUUUCUGUACCUCACUUCUGUUUUGUGUAUGUCACUUUAUUUUUUCUGUCCAUAAAUCCUCUUCCACCACGCAGCUGCGCUGCAGUCUCUGAGCCUACUCUGGCUCUGGAGGCGGCCCGAUAGGCGAAUUGUUCUUUGCUCAAUUAAAUUCUUAAAUGUAAUACGGCUGAAGUUUUUCCUUUAACAGUAUACAACUGUGAAGUGGUUUUAUCAGGCAUCAUAGGUGGAGAAAUAGUAGACCAGAAGUGCAAGAGGCAUAUGCAACACCAUUCCCUGCUGUACCAGUAUUAUCCAGUGACACCUUAUCUGGUUAUUAACCAAAGCUGCUUUGGCAUAAUUCCAGUGGCUGAAGUGAGAGGAAGCGAGGAUAUGGCUGACAUUCUCCAAGAAGCAGUGACUUCAGAAGAUGACUGGCAUCUUGAACUUCAGGAAAAUGCUUGGCCUUUUUAACUCUGAAAGUCUGUUUGAAACUCAGAAGAAGAAAAUUAGGUGAAUACAAAACUGCUGCCAAACUUAGAAACUUGGUUAAAUAUCCUGCAGAAAAUAUCAUGGGCUUUUCAGAGUCCAGUUAAAUAUCUACAGAUUAUAUUUCCAGUUUCAUACCUGGGGCAUUAACUCUAUUCAUUUUACUAGCUUUAGUGAAUUUUACUUCUGGAGCAUAACAUUGCAUUGAAAAUGUGUCCUCUAACCUAUGAUAUUUAUGUAUCGUUUAAUAUGAAAUUUAUGAGGUUCCAUUUCUGAUUUCCAAAUGGAUGCAAAUUAGAACACAGGAUAUUUACAUUCUUUCAUUUCUAACCCACAUACAUAAAGUUUGACUUUAAAAUGCCACUGUUCGUGUCUGUUUCAUAGAAGCUCUAGGUAUUUAUACGUCCAUUGUGUCUCUGGCACACUCUGAAUUCCAGUUUUUAAUCUAAUAUUGGGCAGGAAUUGGCUAUAAAAAUACAAUGCCAUUGAGGACA
ensembl:lncRNA LINC02466 long intergenic non-protein coding RNA 2466